rnacentral:tRNA from 1 species
UGGCAUAGUGAUUAAGCACUCGGCUGCUAACCGAAAGGUUGGUGGUUCAAACCCACC